GAUGAACGCUGGCGGCGUGCCUAAUACAUGCAAGUCGAGCGAACAGAUAAGGAGCUUGCUCCUUUGACGUUAGCGGCGGACGGGUGAGUAACACGUGGGUAACCUACCUAUAAGACUGGGAUAACUUCGGGAAACCGGAGCUAAUACCGGAUAACAUUUGGAACCGCAUGGUUCUAAAGUGAAAGAUGGUUUUGCUAUCACUUAUAGAUGGACCCGCGCCGUAUUAGCUAGUUGGUAAGGUAACGGCUUACCAAGGCGACGAUACGUAGCCGACCUGAGAGGGUGAUCGGCCACACUGGAACUGAGACACGGUCCAGACUCCUACGGGAGGCAGCAGUAGGGAAUCUUCCGCAAUGGGCGAAAGCCUGACGGAGCAACGCCGCGUGGGUGAUGAAGGGUUUCGGCUCGUAAAACUCUGUUAUUAGGGAAGAACAAAUGUGUAAGUAACUGUGCACGUCUUGACGGUACCUAAUCAGAAAGCCACGGCUAACUACGUG
rnacentral:rRNA from 1 species